UGGGGAAUAUUGGACAAUGGGCGAAAGCCUGAUCCAGCCAUGCCGCGUGUGUGAAGAAGGCCUUUUGGUUGUAAAGCACUUUAAGCGAGGAGGAGGCUACUUAGAUUAAUACUCUAGGAUAGUGGACGUUACUCGCAGAAUAAGCACCGGCUAACUCUGUGCCAGCAGCCGCGGUAAUACAGAGGGUGCGAGCGUUAAUCGGAUUUACUGGGCGUAAAGCGUGCGUAGGCGGCUUUUUAAGUCGGAUGUGAAAUCCCUGAGCUUAACUUAGGAAUUGCAUUCGAUACUGGGAAGCUAGAGUAUGGGAGAGGAUGGUAGAAUUCCAGGUGUAGCGGUGAAAUGCGUAGAGGUCUGGAGGAAUACCGAUGGCGAAGGCAGCCAUCUGGCCUAAUACUGACGCUGAGGUACGAAAGCAUGGGGAGCAAACAGG
rnacentral:rRNA from 1 species